rnacentral:misc_RNA from 1 species
UGCGUCCCGUGACCUGAGCG